rnacentral:misc_RNA from 1 species
GCAGGAAAACUCAUGGAUGUAUACGAGAGCUGCAUUUCGAACUUAAGGAAGACCCAGUCUGAAAGGCGUGUAAAUUCUCUAAAGAAAAUUGAUCCAGCAAAUUUUACAAAGGAGGGACGCCGUCAGGUGUCUGAAGCCCUUCUUCAGGAGAUCACAUCAUUAAACCACCUCGACGUGGAGCUUUAUAAAUAUGCCCAGACGAUCUUUGCAAAUCAACACAAACGCAUGUUACUGUAUAAGGCUGUCAAGAACCAGUUGGACAGUGACUUUGACGAUUCAUAUCGUGCGUUUUCUUGGGAAGCCAUUUGUAUUGCUGUUUCUGUGGUGUUUGUGGCUCUAUUUGCUGUCCUGUUUGUAACUGCAAAAAGAAGAACAUCA